UACGAAGGGUGCAAACGUUGCUCGGAAUUAUUGGGCGUAAAGCGCACGUAGGCGGCUUUAUAAGUCGGAUGUGAAAUCCCUCGGCUUAACCAAGGAAGUGCAUCCGAAACUACAGAGCUUGAGUACCUAAGAGGAUCGCGGAAUUCCCGGUGUAGAGGUGAAAUUCGUAGAUAUCGGGAGGAACACCAGUGGCGAAGGCGGCGAUCUGGGAAGAUACUGACGCUGAGGUGCGAAAGCGUGGGGAGCAAACAGG
rnacentral:rRNA from 1 species